rnacentral:lncRNA from 1 species
UCAAUUAAUUUCUUUACUUAUAGAUGCCAAAAAAUAAAUGCAUACUUUUAUUUUCUUACAUUUUUUUAACGGGUUAAUUUCACAAACAGUCACUGAAACUUAACAAAAAAUUAUAAAACGAUCACUGAAGUUUAAAACUUUCAUAAAUGGUCACUUAAGUUUCGGGCGGUUUCACUUAUGGUCACUGAAGUUUUUAAAACUUUCACAAAUGGUCACUUCAGGUACCAAAAUGAUUCUAAUUCAAACUUAAGGAUCGAAACACGUGACCAUACAAUUUUUUAAGGACCUUAUGUGCAAAAUAUUUUCCUCCCACUUCCAUGUUCACUCUCCUUCUCCGACACCGGUGGUUCAAGGCCAAAAUCGAGCCUCCUACCGCCGGAUAAACCACCAAAUUUUUACACCAAAAACACCCCCUCAUCCCCCUCCACAAUCCUAUAUCAAUAAUCAACCAAAACACAUAAAAAGUGAAAUGAAAUUCGGGUUCAAAAAACUGUAAUCAUGCACGAUUUUCUUCCAAUUCUGGCCAACCCACCAUCACCCAUAUCAAAACUCCAUCAUAGGCUAUUAGUACUCCCCAAAACGAACAAAUACAUGGUCUCAUAUCAUUUCAAAACAAGUUCAAUCAAAAUCGAAAUGAUACCAGUUCGAAGGAAGCCGGCAACGAACUUUCCUCUCCAAUUUCCAGCUCCGGCAUCAACAAUUACGGUUGCUCACCACCACCAUUACCUUCUACUCAUCAUGGCGAACAAGAUGCACAUAUGGGUCCUCACCAAUUUAUCUCGAAUCAGCCAAUUUCUGUUCAUGCAUCUUCUACGCGUGAAUGGCUUUCGAAACGAUUUCAAUUGAGCACUCAAAUCUUAUCCAACCGAUAAAUAAACAUGGGGAAACUGAAAUUCAUCAUAAAAAAAACACUGGGUAUCCCUUCAAUUGCAGAAAUUACAUCACCAGCUUGUCAAAUUUUGGGGUCAAAUACUUGACGUGCCACCGGAAAUUGAAGGGAGGAGGAAAAUGGGAAACUGAAUUUUUUUACCUGAGGUCCUUAAAAAAUUGUAUGGUCACGCGUUUCAGUCCUUAAGUUUGAAUUAGAAUCAUUUUGGUACCUGAAAUGACCAUUUGUGAAAGUUUUAAAAACUUCAGUGACCAUUAGUGAAACUGCCCAAAACUUAAGUGACCGUUUAUGAAAGUUUUAAACUUCAGCGACCGUUUUGUAAUUUUUUGUUAAGUUCA